rfam:Salmo salar isolate Sally breed double haploid chromosome ssa21, whole genome shotgun sequence.
UGCAUUCACUACUGUAAGUCGCUCUGGAUAAGAGCAUCUGCUAAAUGACAUAAA